UACGAAGGGGGCUAGCGUUGUUCGGAAUUACUGGGCGUAAAGGGCGCGUAGGCGGCCAUUCAAGUUAGAUGUGAAAGCCCUGGGCUCAACCUAGGAAUUGCAUUUGAUACUGUUUGGCUUGAGUUCGGGAGAGGUGAGUGGAAUUCCCAGUGUAGAGGUGAAAUUCGUAGAUAUUGGGAAGAACACCAGUGGCGAAGGCGGCUCACUGGACCGACACUGACGCUGAGACGCGAAAGCGUGGGGAGCAAACAGG
rnacentral:rRNA from 1 species